rnacentral:lncRNA from 1 species
GUUGCUGCUAGGUGCAGUAGGGUAGUGGGAGAAUCAGUAGUUGUUCCUGAUUAAGGCGGAAUCAUAGCGGACGAUUUGAGUUAGACCGACAUUGUUGCUGGAGCCGACGAGCCUCCGCAGCUCCGACCUUACUUUGUAAAAUAUGUGGCUCCAGCUGCCUUUGUUGUUGCAUUCUAAUACGGUUUUCUCCUCUUCAUUCAUUUUCAAAUUCUUGGCAAAUGUGGGCAGAGUGUUUGUGUUUGUUGAAGAAGAAGAAGAACGAAUGAGAUGGGCUUUGGGUGGAGAGGGAUCGAACUGGCGUGGGAGUGGG